CUAUGGCCUCAGAUCAGACACAGCAACCCGCUGAAUUUAAGCAUAAUACUAAGCGGAGGAUAAGAAACUAACCAGGAUUCCCUCAGUAAUGGCUGGUGAAGAGGGAAGAGCCCAGCGCUGAAUCCCCGUUCAGUGGCAGGCGUGGGAGAUGUGGUGUACAGAAGACUGACUCCUCGGCAUCGCUCAUGGGGCUCAAGUCCUUCUGAUCGAGUCUCAACCUGCGGACAUUGUUAGGCCGGUAGCAGCCUCUGGCACGCCGGGAUCAGGUCUUCUUGGAGUCAGGUUGCUUGGGAAAGCAUCCCAAAGCAAAUGGUAACUCCAUCUAAGGCUAAAUACGGGUGCAAGACGGAUGGCUAACAAGUACCUUAAGGGAAAGUUGAAAACAACUUUGAAGAGAGAGUUCAAGAAGGCGUGAAACCGUUGAGAGGUAAACUGGUGGGGUCCAUGCAUCCGUGCGCUGGAUUCAACACGGCAGGCAGGUCGGUCACACUGGAACGGUGGAUGCCCUCGUGGGACUGGGGCACGGGCAAAGCCGCCCCCCGCACGGUGCAUUUCCUCUGUGGCGGUGCACCGUGACCGGCUGGGAAGGGGACAGGUGGCUCUCUGCUCUGGCAGAGAGUGUUACAGCCCCCUGACAACAGUUUUGCUGUGUCCGCAGGGCCGAGUGAGAUUGACCGCUGCCAUCCCUUCUCCGGAAACCGUCCUGGCCCCUCCUGGGGGUCGCCAGGGUGGAGACGGGGCUCCUGAUGUGACUGUGGCGGACUGCCCUCAGUACGUCCCAACCACGUCGUGCCGCUGGGUGGGAAGGCCCACAAAGGGUGCCAUGGUCUGAGGUGAUGCUAGUUAACCACCCGACCUGUCUUGAAACACGGGCCAAACACGUGUGCGAUUUGGUGGGCAAAAUUAAACCCUGUGGUGCAAAGAAGUUGAGGGCUGGCGCAUGCAGAUUGCGGUGGAUCCUGUUGCGGUGGCCCACUCUGUCAGGGAGAUGGAGCAUGAGCGUUUGUGAUUGGACCCGAAAGAAGGUGAAAUAGGCCUGGUGGAGGCCCGUAGCGCUCCUGAUGUGUAAAUCGGUCGUCCGACCUGAGUAUAGGGGCGAAACACUAAUCGAACCAUCUAGUAGGUGGUUCCUUCCAUAAUUUCUCUCAGGACAGCUGGUGCACGGAAACCCCAGUUUUACCUGGUAAAGCGAAUGAGAAGAGGUCUUGGGGCCAAACUGAUCUCAAUCUGUUCUCAAACUUUAAAUGGCUAAGAAGCCCGGCUCGCUGGCGUGGAGCCGGGCAUUGAAUGCAAGUGGGCAACUUUUGUUUAGCAGAACUGCCGCUGCAGGAUGAACCGAUUGCUGGGUUAAGGUGCCCGAUGCCGACUCUCAUCAGACCCCAGAAAAGGUGUUGGUUGAUAUAGACAGCAGGACGGUGGCCAUGGAAAUCGGAAUCCGCUAAGGAGCCCCGGGGAGAGUUCUCUUUUCUUUGUGAAGGGCAGGGCACCCUGGAAUGGGUCGCUGGUCCUUGAAAAUCCAGGGGAGAUGGUAUAAACCUGGCUCGGGCCGUACCGUUAUCUACACUGGAUUUCCAAGGUGAACAGCCUCUGGCAUGUUGGGACAAUGUAGGUAAGGGAAGUUGGCAAGUCAGAUCCAUAACUUUGGGAUAAGGAUUGGCUCUAAGGGCUGGGUCGGUCGGGCUGGUGUGCGAAGCAGGGCUGGGCGCGUGCCAUGGCUGGACAAGGCGUCUCACCUUCCCUCCCCCUGGGGGCGGUGCCGACUCUGGAUUCGAGGCGGGCCCUGCCUGUGGAUCUCCCCAGCUGCGGUGGUCGCCUCACUCCGUUCCCUUCCCGGUGUUCGGGGCUGACAUCCUGCCUCGGAUGAUGCCUAGCAGCUGACUUAGAACUGGUGCGGAACAUGGAAAUCUGACUGUUUAAUUAAAACAGCAUCGUGAAGGCCUGUGGUGGGUGUUGACAUGAAGUGAUUUCUGUCCAGUGCUCUGAAUGUGAAAGUGAAGAAAUUCAAUGAAGCACAGGUAAACGAUGGGAGUAACUAUGACUCUCUUAAGGUAACCAAAUGCCUCGUCAUCUAAUUAGUGACACGCAUGAAUACAUGAAUGAGAUUCCCACUGUUCCUACCUACUAUCUAGUGAAAUCACAGCCAAGGGAACGGGCUUGGAGGAAUCAGCAGGGAAAUAAACCCAGUUGAGCUUGCCUCUAGUCUGGCACUGUGAAGAGACAUGUAGGAUAAAUGGGAAGCCCUCGUGCCGCCAGUGAAAUACCACUACUCGUAUUGUUUUUUCACUUAAAUGGGAAGCCCUCGGGCCGCCAGUGAAAUACCACUACUCGUAUUUUUUUUUCACUUACCCGGUGAGGUGGGGGGAGAGCCCCGUGGGGCUCUCACUUCUGGCUCCAAGCUCCCGGUACCCGCUGUGCGCAACCUGUUUUGGGGUCAGUGGCAGUUGGGGAGUUUGACUGGGACGGUAUACCUGCCAAACAAUAACGCAGGUGUCCUAAGGUGAGCUCAGGGAGGACAGAAACCUACUCACUUGAUCUCGAUUUUUCAGUAGGAAUACAGACAGUAAAAGCGGGGCCUCACAAUCCUUCUGACUUUUUGGGUUUCAAGCAGGAGGUGUCAGAAAAGUUACCACAGGGAUAACUGGCUUGUGGCGGCCAAGCGUUCCUAGUAACGGCGAUUUUUGAUCCUUCGAUGUCGGCUCUUCCUAUCACUGUGAAGCAGAAUUCACCAAGCGUUGAAUUGUUUGCCCACUAACAGGGAACGUGGGUUUAGAACGUCGUGAGACAGGUUAGUUUUAGUCUACUUAUGAUGUGUUGUUGCAAUAGUAACCCUGCUUAGUACAAGAGGAACCGCAGGUUCAGACAUUUGGUGUAUGUGCUUGACCGAGGAGCCAAUGGGGCGAAGCUACUAUCUGUGGGAUUAUGACUGAACGCCUCUAAGUCAGAAUCCCCCUUUAACUGUAAUGAUACCACAGCACUGACAAGCCCCGGUCGGCCUGGGAUAGCCGGCUUCUGUGCCGGUGUGCAGAGCCGCUAGCCUCGGGACUUGAGUGUGGACAGAAGGGGGCCACCUCUCUCGCCCGUAGCGUACCGCAUGUUCGUGGGGAACCUGGUGCUAAACCAUUCGUAGACGACCUGAUACUUGUGCAGGGUUUUGUAAAUAGCAUAGCAGCUACCUCGCUGCGAUCUAUUGAACGUCAUCCUC
rnacentral:rRNA from 1 species